UGGAAGCAGCCUGUGCCAGUUCUCAUGUGUGUCUUUUAAACUGCACAGACUGAUCCUAAAGGUCGAAGGAAGGUGCGGGCCAGUGAGCGGCUUCCUGCUGCAACCAGCACCAGGCCGGGUGCGCGCUCUGCUGCAGUGGAGCGUGGCAAAGAAGUCUUGAAAGAAACAUGGAGAGACGUGAAAAAGGAAGAGAGAGUCUUGCAGCCAGCAGCGGAGGAAGCAAAACAGGAAUACAGUGAUUCUCCCUGGGAUUCUGAGACUGAUUCUGAAGGUGGAAGCAAAGUGUCGGCCGAUGUGCAGCUUCCUGCUGCAGACCAAAACAGAGUGGGUGUGAGCUCUGCUGCAGUGGAGCAUGGCAAAGGUAAUUUCAGACGGUCUACAUGGUUGUCUUUGUGCGCCUCUGUGGAGUGGAUCAGUUUUUCGGAAAAGCAAAGUGAAAGAAGCACUCACAGCAGCAACACUCUUACCUUAUUUUUUAAUCUCUAUUAUCAGCUGCAAGAGCAGAACAGAAGGAACAUUUUAUGUCCUCUUCUGAGAAUAAGCUUCCUACAUUACAGAGAGAAGAUCUUCAGCUAAAGGUUGAUUCUUCAACUCAAACGGAUUCUGAGCAGGACAAACAGGUGACUCUUAGAGAUAGAUGCAAAUAUCCCUAAAUUGAACCUAUCAGUGUAAACACAUGUACUCUUGCUGGUGAGUACAUUUUGAAAUAGUGCUGAGAGGAAGUAAUUAAUCUGGACAUGAGCUGUAUUUUGGACCUAAUUUCAUAUGUAUUUGAAGCAGAAGAGCUGCAAAAA
rnacentral:lncRNA from 1 species